GACGAACGCUGGCGGCGUGCUUAACACAUGCAAGUCGAACGGAAAGGCCUGCUUUCCCUUGUGGAUUGCGGGUACUCGAGUGGCGAACGGGUGAGUAACACGUGAGUGAUCUGCCCCCAACUUGGGUAUAAGCCUGGGAAACUGGGUCUAAUUCCCGAUAGGACUGCAGGGUGGUGCCUGUGUUGGAAAACGAUUUUCUAGUGGUUGGGGAUGAGCUCGCGGCCUAUCAGCUUGUUGGUGGGGUAAUGGCCUACCAAGGCGGCGACGGGUAGCCGGCCUGAGAGGGUGGACGGCCACAUUGGGACUGAGAUACGGCCCAGACGCCUACGGGAGGCAGCAGUGGGGAAUAUUGCACAAUGGGCGGAAGCCUGAUGCAGCGACGCCGCGUGGGGGAUGACGGCCUUCGGGUUGUAAACUCCUUUCGACCGCGAGGAAGCCACCUGGUUGGAAGGGUGGUGACGGUAGUGGUAGAAGAAGCACCGGCUAACUACGUG
rnacentral:rRNA from 1 species